rnacentral:lncRNA from 1 species
AACUUAAAGAACUAAGAAUAAAUGUAAAGAUGAUAGAUUAGAGGAAGACCAUCAUAUAAAGUGGUCAUACCCAGCCUAUUGAGUGGACUGAAACACACAGACUUCUUACAAGGGUUAACAAACAAGAGCAGACUUGUAAACAAGUCAGUCAAAGGUCUGAAUGGUGAUUAGGACACUAACAGGCCUUUGUCAAGGCUCAAACACAUAAGAUAGGGGAUGGGGGAUGGGAU